rnacentral:rRNA from 1 species
CAAGUCGAACGGUGACCUCGGAGCUUGCUUCGGGUGAUCAGUGGCGAACGGGUGAGUAACACGUGAGUAACCUGCCCCAGACUCUGGGAUAACACCGGGAAACCGGUGCUAAUACCGGAUACGACGCGAAGAGGCAUCUCUAUCGCGUGGAAAGUUCUUCGGUCUGGGAUGGACUCGCGGCCUAUCAGCUUGUUGGUGAGGUAACGGCUCACCAAGGCGACGACGGGUAGCCGGCCUGAGAGGGCGACCGGCCACACUGGGACUGAGACACGGCCCAGACUCCUACGGGAGGCAGCAGUGGGGAAUAUUGCACAAUGGGCGCAAGCCUGAUGCAGCGACGCCGCGUGAGGGAUGACGGCCUUCGGGUUGUAAACCUCUUUCAGCAGGGAAGAAGCGAAAGUGACGGUACCUGCAGAAGAAGCACCGGCUAACUACGUGCCAGCAGCCGCGGUAAUACGUAGGGUGCGAGCGUUGUCCGGAAUUAUUGGGCGUAAAGAGCUUGUAGGCGGUCUGUCGCGUCUGCUGUGAAAAUCCGGGGCUCAACCCCGGACUUGCAGUGGGUACGGGCAGACUAGAGUGUGGUAGGGGAGACUGGAAUUCCUGGUGUAGCGGUGAAAUGCGCAGAUAUCAGGAGGAACACCGAUGGCGAAGGCAGGUCUCUGGGUCACUACUGACGCUGAGAAGCG